CCUACGGGCGGCAGCCGUGAGGAAUAUUGGUCAAUGGACGAGAGUCUGAACCAGCCAAGUAGCGUGAAGGAUGACUGCCCUAUGGGUUGUAAACUUCUUUUAUAUGGGAAUAAAACGUUCCACGUGUGGGAUUUUGUAUGUACCAUAUGAAUAAGGAUCGGCUAACUCCGUGCCAGCAGCCGCGGUAAUACGGAGGAUCCGAGCGUUAUCCGGAUUUAUUGGGUUUAAAGGGAGCGUAGGUGGAUUGUUAAGUCAGUUGUGAAAGUUUGCGGCUCAACCGUAAAAUUGCAGUUGAAACUGGCAGUCUUGAGUACAGUAGAGGUGGGCGGAAUUCGUGGUGUAGCGGUGAAAUGCUUAGAUAUCACGAAGAACUCCGAUUGCGAAGGCAGUUCACUGGACUGCAACUGACACUGAGGCUCGAAAGUGUGGGUAUCAAACAGGAUUAGAUACCCGUGUAGUC
rnacentral:rRNA from 1 species